rnacentral:rRNA from 1 species
AGUCUGCAACCCGACUCCAUGAAGCUGGAUUCGCUAGUAAUCGCGCAUCAGCCACGGCGCGGUGAAUACGUUCCCGGGCCUUGUACACACCGCCCGUCAAGCCAUGGAAGCCGGGGGUGCCUGAAGUGCGCUGCCGCAAGGAGCGUCCUAGGGUAAAACCGGUGACUGGGGCUAAGUCGUAACAAGGUAAC